AAUGACUCUCGACAACGGAUAUCUCGGCUCUCGCAUCGAUGAAGAACGUAGCGAAAUGCGAUACUUGGUGUGAAUUGCAGAAUCCCGUGAACCAUCGAGUCUUUGAACGCAAGUUGCGCCCGAAGCCUUUUGGCCGAGGGCACGUUUGCCUGGGCAU
rnacentral:rRNA from 1 species